rnacentral:misc_RNA from 1 species
GAUGAAGAACGUAGCGAAACGCGAUAAGUAAUGUGAAUUGCAGAAUCCAGUGAAUCAUCGAAUCUUUGAACGCACAUUGCGCCCGCGAGUAUUCUCGCGGGCAUGCCUGUCCGAGCGUCAUUUCAACCCUCAGGGCCCGCCUGCUUCGGCAGGCGCGGCGCUGGUGUUGGGGAUCGGCCUAACCGCCGUCCCCCAAAUACAGUGGCGGUCUCGCUGCAGCCUCCCCUGCGUAGUAGCAACACUCGCAUGCGGAGCGCGGCGCGGCCACGCCGUAAAACCCCCGACUUUCUGAACGUUGACCUCGGAUCAGGUAGGAAUACCCGCUGAACUUAAGCAUAUCAAUAAGCGGAGGA